UCUGUUUGUUUAUUUCUGUUUCUGUUUUUGUUUGUUUCUGUUUCUCUGUUUGUUUGUUUCUCUGUUUGUUUGUUUCUCUGUUUGUUUGUUUGUUUCUCUGUUUGUUUGUUUCUCUGUUUGUUUGUUUCUCUGUUUGUUUGUUUCUCUGUUUGUUUGUUUCUCUGUUUGUUUGUUUGUUUCUCUGUUUGUUUGUUUGUUUGUUUGUUUGUUUCUCUGUUUGUUUGUUUGUUUCUCUGUUUGUUUGUUUGUUUCUCUGUUUGUCUGUCUGUCUGUCUGUCUG
rnacentral:lncRNA from 1 species